AUUGAACGCUGGCGGAAUGCUUUACACAUGCAAGUCGAACGGCAGCACGGACUUCGGUCUGGUGGCAAGUGGCGAACGGGUGAGUAAUAUAUCGGAACGUGCCCAGUCGUGGGGGAUAACGUAGUGAAAAUUACGCUAAUACCGCAUACGAUCUAUGGAUGAAAGCGGGGGAUCGCAAGACCUCGCGCGAUUGGAGCGGCCGAUAUCAGAUUAGGUAGUUGGUGAGGUAAAGGCUCACCAAGCCGACGAUCUGUAGCUGGUCUGAGAGGACGACCAGCCAGACUGGAACUGAGACACGGUCCAGACUCCUACGGGAGGCAGCAGUGGGGAAUUUUGGACAAUGGACGCAAGUCUGAUCCAGCCAUUCCGCGUGCAGGACGAAGGCCUUCGGGUUGUAAACUGCUUUUGUACAGAACGAAAAGGUCUCUAUUAAUACUAGGGGCUCAUGACGGUACUGUAAGAAUAAGCACCGGCUAACUACGUGCCAGCCGCCGCCGUAA
rnacentral:rRNA from 1 species